UUUUUUUUUUUACUUUUAUUUAUUCUCUAUCUAACAUUAGAUGUGUCAAAUUUUUUUUUGUGCAGCCCUACACGGUUGUUAAUUUCUUUUGUUUUUCCCUUUUUAUCAAUGAUCAGUAAUUGAUAUUAGAUUGUCGUUCAAUUUUUUUAGGUUACUGGGUGAAUUUUCAGCCCAGAAGUUCUGUGAUAAUGUCCAUCAAUUGUUGUUAUAGUCAUUUCAUAACCCUCUCUUUGUCAUUUGUUGCAUGUUUUUGUGAGAUUUCAUAACCCACUCUUUUGUCAUUACGUAUCCUAACUAGACAUCUUGUGCGCAAUGCUUAUUUGGAUUUGCUUGUUCUAUACUCUUAUUUUAUGGAUGUUUCUCUCUUUCUUUUUCUUUAGUCAAGUAUGGGAGUGUUAUGGGGAUGGGAGUGUUAUGGGGUUGUGAAAGUGGAUGUGUUUUCUCAGUUGAGGUUAUAGUGAUAUGCAUUUUUUUUAAUAAGUAAGUAGAAUUUUUUUU
rnacentral:misc_RNA from 1 species